UACAUGCCUCGGCGCAUGCGCAGUGGCGCUGGCCUGUGCCCGCUCCAACUACAGUUCCCGGCGUGCUCCGCGCCGGCGCCGCGCACGCGCCGCAGGGGGUCCGUGGUGGAGGAGCGGGCGCUCUGCUGUCCCCCGCCGGCGGCCGGCAGACGGUCCCGCGUCUGCCCCGGUCCCCGCCCCCCACCCCGAGCCGUGGACAUGGAGGUGGACGUCGGCUCCGUGGUCUCGGGGCUGUCGGGCGGGGAUGGAGCAGGCGCGGGCCAGGCCGAUGAGGAUCAGGAGAUGGAAGGGGCUCCCAGCUGUUCGGGGGCGCGCCCCGUCCCCUUCGAGUUCGAGCGGAGCCGCUCGGAGUCCAGCGGCGAUGAGGACGACGACGAAGACGACGAGGAAGAGGAGAUGGAGGAAGAAGAGCUCGAGGGGGACCCCGGGGCUCGGUUCGGGACGGACGACGGGGACCUCGACUCGGACGACGACCGUGAGCGUAUGAUAAACCUCGCAGAGUUGACCCCUUACAUCCUGUGUUCCAUCUGCAAAGGUUACUUUAUUGAUGCUACAACCAUUACAGAAUGUCUGCACACCUUUUGUAAAAGCUGCAUAGUGAGACACUUCUACUAUAGCAACAGAUGUCCAAAAUGCAAUAUCGUUGUACAUCAGACGCAACCUCUUUAUAAUAUCAGGCUGGACCGGCAACUGCAAGACAUAGUUUAUAAAUUAGUCGUCAAUUUGGAGGAAAGGGAGAAAAAACAAAUGCAUGACUUCUACAAAGAAAGAGGAUUAGAAGUGCCCAAACCAGCUGUCCCACAGCCAGUUCCAGUGAGCAGAGGAAGACCUCGAAAAGUCCUGGGCUCUGUGUUCCGGAUCCCACCAGAGCUUGACAUCUCCAUACUGCUGGAGUUCAUUGGAGCUAAUGAAGGCACAGGAAAUUUUAAGCCUUUGGAAAAGAAGUUUGUGCGUGUUUCCGGAGAGGCAACAAUUGGACAUGUGGAGAAAUUCCUCAGAAGAAAAAUGGAUCUGGACCCUACUUGUCAGAAGCUGAAAGCAGAAGUAAUGCUGAGCAGUUUAUAUCUUCUGCACACUAAGAUUCAACCUAACAUGAACAGAGUAUUCUACAUCGUUCUCAAACUAUACAGAUGGUGAGGUGGACAUAAUAUGUGGUGAUCACCUGCUAGAACACUACCAGACUCUGAGGGAAAUUCGUCAAGCCAUAGGAGAGAGUGCAGUUCAGGAUGGUUUACUUGUUCUGCACUAUGGCCUGGUGGUAUCUCCAAUGAUUGUAACUUAAAGAUUGGUAGAAUAUCAGAAGGCAGAAGAAUCUGAAGUCAUCAAGCUUCUUCACAGCUGUUUCUCACCAAAGAAGGCCAUUGUAUUUCCUGUGACAGGAAGCAAGGAACUACCACGAACUGCUGUAUGCUCGUAAUAUAACAUCUGACUUUACCAUUGUCAAAAACCAGCUUCUGUAAGUACAGCUAUAGAUGUUGCUAUGCUUUGUGUUACAAAUUACUGUCUUCAAAUUUCACUCGGCUCAGGGAAUUGAAAUGCUCAGAGUAGCUGCAUUUUUUUACUUCCUAAAACCACAAAAUCUCAUGGGGUGAACAGCCUUUUUUUUCCUCUAAACUAUUAGAUAUUGCUUGUUUUCUAAGUGUCUAGCUGGAACAGCACUCUCAGGGAUGAUCUUCAGUGGGCAGUAUAAGUUGUUUUGGGGAGGAGACAGUCGUUUGCCUAAAAAAUAAAGUGUACUGUGAUCAUCUGUCUUCAGAUACGAUUUGGGGAGAGGAAGGUAACUUUAGAAAUGCAGACCAAAAUAGGUAGAAAAUGAUGCAUCGUAAGCAUUGGUUUUUGAGAAGUAGCAUUAAAUUUAGUUGUUUUUCUUGAAGAAAGACAAUUUUGUUUGCACUGGAAAUAUAUUUGCUGGUAGUUUUGGCUUAUACCAAAUGGUGGAUCAUGCAUCUCUAGUAUUAAUGGAGAUGAGCCAGCUGUGAGCUGGUUAAACUAUGCAUGAAAAAGAGAAAAGGUAGCACCUCUUUCUACCUGCUUGCUGUAUGUAAAAUAAUCACUGUCAGCCUCAUUCUGCUGUCAUGUAAGAUCCAUCAACUGACUUGGCUAGCAGGAGCAUAAAUCCUUUAGCACAUAGCUUUCUAGCAGCCAUGGCAAUGGUAGCAUUUUACACUCUUCUAAAUGUGUGUUAGUGUGUUGUAGUGGAGACCAGGGUUGGGUAAUGUAAUACUAGCCUGUUACUACCAGAGUCACAGAGGGCAUUAGGGAACUUUAAUUUUAACAUAUUAAAAUACUAGGUUUUGUGGCAACUGUAAUACUUCAAUUUUUUUCUGUUUCCAUGGUUUCUUGCACAGCAUUAAGGACCGGAGCUUUGUGUCUUAACAGUCUUGCUGCAUACUAGGUCAUCAGUGUGGGGAUUCAUGAAAGCCGCCAUUAUGCACCAGGCCCCCUCCCUGUAGUCAGUGUUGGGAAAGGGGGGAGAUUCCUUUGUCAGGUGUUUUGGAGUACCCAGGUUAGCUCAAAUGCACUUGCUUGCUGCCAGCCUAAGAGGGCUGGCAUCCUUUGUCUAAAGAAGGCUUUCAUGAAUCCUUCCUCAGGUCUUUAUAAUAACUGUUCUGUUUCGUCUGUGAAGGUGACACCAUCAGAAAAAAAAGUCUUAUUUGCAGUAAUUAUUGUAAUGCUUCUAAAAUAACAAAAACAUUUGUAGCUACAAAUUCCUAUUUUACCUUUGAAGUUUGUAUAAAAGUAGUGUUUAAAAUGCAGCAAAAAACGAGGUUAUUUUGUAAACACUUUGUGAGUUGUGUUCAUAAAAGAUUAUAUAUUGUAACAGUAAAAUAAACUUUAUUUUAGCCAACUUAAAAUCGAGCUUCUGUGUUUCCAUGGCAUGCUCCCUAUGUCAGCCUCAGAAUUAGAGCAGUUGAUAUUGAAGCUGCUGGAUGUGCUCUGGGUUUAUAUAGAAUGAUAAAUUUAAGUUAGGAGGUUCAAUGGUGAAGGGUAGUUUCAUACCCAAAUCUUCACUGGAGCUAACUGCGAUAUCCUCAGCUGGAGUAACAUGGAAUUUCUGCAACUUUCCUUUUAAUGAGGAUUUCAGUGAGAAAUAACUCAGUAAAGAUGUCAAGAUGAUUUUUCGACACAGAUACAAGAGAAAUAAUCCUGUGUAGUUACAGUGCCCCUAUUUUCAUCAAUACCUACAUGUUUGUGUCAGAGCCACCUCUAGACUAUUUUCAUUCAUGUUUGUGGCUGUUGCUAUUGAGUCCUCUGUGAACCGGAUCUUUCUCUGCUGCUCUGGUGCAGGCUUUAUGCAAGGCACAGGGCUUGUAUACUUCAUAUUGCCACUUCCUGUUUCACUGUCACUCGUGGGUUUGUUUUCUAUGUAUAGCUCUGUGCUUAAAAAAGUUAGCAGUAUAGUCACAUUUUACAUUGCAAACUCUUCCCUAAUCCAGGCUUGAACUUCAUGUCUACAGAAGGACUGAUUUGCCAAGUUUAACUUGGCAAAUAUAGAAUCUGAUAGUUAAUUCAAAUCAAUGUCAUUCUAGGAUGCUGCUGACUCGCAUAGCCUCAAGAUGAUUGUGCAGCCACUGGCUCUGAUGUCAGUGUCAGUUUCUGUUUAAAAGGGAAAAAAAGGCUUCUGCAUAUGUUUAAAGAGAGGUUUUCUAUAGGGUAAAUGACUUGCCAGCUAAAAUGCAGAAGGCCAAGUCUUCCUACUUCAUUCUUUCAGUGGCUUAAUGAGGAGGAUUGAAGAUCUGUUGCCUGUGAUAUUUUAAUAUGAAUGCUUAGUGACCUCUUACUUCCCAUUUGUCUGCUUCCAUCUUUAUUUCUUCCUCACCUGCCUUCAGAAAGCAUAUUCUUAGCUUACUCUUCCUGGCUGAACAUCCUGCUUUCUGUCACCUUAGCACAUAUCCUGAAGGCACUGAUGUUUUAUCUGCUCUCCAUCCCUGCAGUACCCCCUGGGGCACAUCAGCGUGCAAUGGGGGUGACCUUUAGCUAUUGCCAAGGCUGAUCUGUGGGCUGUGUGGUUUC